GCUUGUUAGCUCAUUUGGUAGAGCGCUCCGCUGGAAAUGAAGAGGUUCCUGGUUUGAUACCAGGACCAUGCG
rnacentral:tRNA from 2 species